AUGAACUGCAGUUUGUCAGAGAUCAGCUGUUCUUCUCUGGUCAGUUCUGAAGUCCAACCCCUCCCAUCUGAGAGAGCUGAACCUGAGUGAAAAUUACAGGCUGCAGGAUUCAGGAGUGAAGCUGCUGUGUGAGGGACUGCAGAGUCCAAACUGUAGACUGGAGACUCUGAGAUUGAUGAACUGCAGUUUGUCAGAGAUCAGCUGUUCUUCUCUGGCCUCAGCUCUGAAGUCCAACCCCUCCCAUCUGAGAGAGCUGAACCUGAGUGAAAACUACAGGCUGCAGGAUUCAGGAGUGAAGCUGCUGUGUGACCUUCAGAAGAAUCCAGACUACAGACUGGAGACUCUGAGGUGAGUACAGGGUUGGGUUUAGUCCAUCCUGGUCUCUACAGGGUUUCACUAAACACAGUUCAGGAUUCGUACAGUCAUUAAAAACCUUGAAAUGUUUUGGAAUUUGAAAAUACAAUAUUUCCAGUCAAAAAGCA